CUGAUGCGUUGUUGGGUAGGGGAGCGUUCUGUAAGCCUGCGAAGGUGGCCUGUGAGGGUUGCUGGAGGUAUCAGAAGUGCGAAUGCUGACAUAAGUAACGAUAAAGCGGGUGAAAAGCCCGCUCGCCGGAAGACCAAGGGUUCCUGUCCAACGUUAAUCGGGGCAGGGUGAGUCGACCCCUAAGGCGAGGCCGAAAGGCGUAGUCGAUGGGAAACGGGUUAAUAUUCCCGUACUUGGUGUUACUGCGAAGGGGGGACGGAGAAGGCUAUGUUGGCCGGGCGACGGUUGUCCCGGUUUAAGCGUGUAGGCUGGUUUUCCAGGCAAAUCCGGAAAAUCAAGGCUGAGGCGUGAUGACGAGGCACUACGGUGCUGAAGCAACAAAUGCCCUGCUUCCAGGAAAAGCCUCUAAGCAUCAGGUAACAUCAAAUCGUACCCCAAACCGACACAGGUGGUCAGGUAGAGAAUACCAAGGCGCUUGAGAGAACUCGGGUGAAGGAACUAGGCAAAAUGGUGCCGUAACUUCGGGAGAAGGCACGCUGACACGUAGGUGAAGUGAUUUACUCAUGGAGCUGAAGUCAGUCGAAGAUACCAGCUGGCUGCAACUGUUUAUUAAAAACACAGCACUGUGCAAACACGAAAGUGGACGUAUACGGUGUGACGCCUGCCCGGUGCCGGAAGGUUAAUUGAUGGGGUCAGCGCAAGCGAAGCUCCUGAUCGAAGCCCCGGUAAACGGCGGCCGUAACUAUAACGGUCCUAAGGUAGCGAAAUUCCUUGUCGGGUAAGUUCCGACCUGCACGAAUGGCGUAAUGAUGGCCAGGCUGUCUCCACCCGAGACUCAGUGAAAUUGAACUCGCUGUGAAGAUGCAGUGUACCCGCGGCAAGACGGAAAGACCCCGUGAACCUUUACUAUAGCUUGACACUGAACAUUGAGCCUUGAUGUGUAGGAUAGGUGGGAGGCUUUGAAGUGUGGACGCCAGUCUGCAUGGAGCCGACCUUGAAAUACCACCCUUUAAUGUUUGAUGUUCUAACGUGGACCCGUUACCCGGGUUGCGGACAGUGUCUGGUGGGUAGUUUGACUGGGGCGGUCUCCUCCUAAAGAGUAACGGAGGAGCACGAAGGUUGGCUAAUCCUGGUCGGACAUCAGGAGGUUAGUGCAAUGGCAUAAGCCAGCUUGACUGCGAGCGUGACGGCGCGAGCAGGUGCGAAAGCAGGUCAUAGUGAUCCGGUGGUUCUGAAUGGAAGGGCCAUCGCUCAACGGAUAAAAGGUACUCCGGGGAUAACAGGCUGAUACCGCCCAAGAGUUCAUAUCGACGGCGGUGUUUGGCACCUCGAUGUCGGCUCAUCACAUCCUGGGGCUGAAGUAGGUCCCAAGGGUAUGGCUGUUCGCCAUUUAAAGUGGUACGCGAGCUGGGUUUAGAACGUCGUGAGACAGUUCGGUCCCUAUCUGCCGUGGGCGCUGGAGAACUGAGGGGGGCUGCUCCUAGUACGAGAGGACCGGAGUGGACGCAUCACUGGUGUUCGGGUUGUCAUGCCAAUGGCACUGCCCGGUAGCUAAAUGCGGAAGAGAUAAGUGCUGAAAGCAUCUAAGCACGAAACUUGCCCCGA
rnacentral:rRNA from 1 species